UACGAAGGGGGCUAGCGUUGUUCGGAUUUACUGGGCGUAAAGCGCACGUAGGCGGAUUGUUAAGUCGGGGGUGAAAUCCUGGAGCUCAACUCCAGAACUGCCUUCGAUACUGGCAAUCUCGAGUCCGGAAGAGGUAAGUGGAACUCCUAGUGUAGAGGUGGAAUUCGUAGAAUAUUAGGAAGAACACCAGUGGCGAAGGCGGCUUACUGGUCCGGUACUGACGCUGAGGUGCGAAAGCGUGGGGAGCAAACAGGAAUUAGAUACCCGUGGUAAG
rnacentral:rRNA from 1 species